rnacentral:SRP_RNA from 1 species
UAUUGGUCCUCCCGCAAUAGCAGUACGUUCACCUGGUCAGGUCCGGAAGGAAGCAGCCAAAGCGUAUGCCCUAUGUGCCGGGAUGUGGCUGGUAAGG